rnacentral:misc_RNA from 1 species
UGUUCCUGCUAUCUCUCUCACAGGACUGUUAGCAUUAUACAUGAACAUGUUGUUUGUGCCCUUGCCAUUGGCCCUGUCAAUGUUGAAGUGAAUGCUUGAGAUAUAGUAUGACAUCAGACUAUGAUAACAAGUAACUAGGUUUUACAUUUUGACGGCUGCGUCUACAAUAACUGUGGUUGGGAAUAUUGUGAUAAAUAGCUAUGGAACUCACUACGAUUCUAAACAUACUACAGUGGAGUAUACGUUGUAAUGGAAGGAAAGACAAAUCGAGAAAUAUACUUCUGUCUCUUCGUACAAGAGUGUUUAGACAAAUACUGUGUAUGCUGUUGUUAUGUGAAUAUAUGCCAUUUACAUUGUACAACCAACGUAGACAUAAACAAGUUUGUACAUUGAUAGGAAAUACCGUCAAAGGUCGAUACAAACUAACGUCACAUCACGUUUCGAUUUGGUCUUAUAUACUGGAAUCACUGUUAUCUGCGGCACAUCUACGUGUUAAGGAAAAUCUUUUGCAUAUUAGUAAAAGUGGGCAGUCACUUGACACAUCUCACCAACGAGCGAAAAAACUCCUCUUACCAAAUAUCGCAAAUGGCAAAAUAGUGUGUAAACAUAUAGAGAAAGGAAAAAUGAAACACUUACGGUCAUCGAAAGAGACAAUAGAAAAAUUUGUCCGAAGAAGGAAAACUUACAAACAUAUUUGCCUGAGUAAAGAAUCAGACCUUUUAAAUGGCGGGCAGAUGAUAACUGUGCUUUGUUGUUUUUCAUCAUCAAUCAAUACAAACAUUAGCGAGAUAUGUACGAACCAGACACACAAGGUUGUCUCUGUGAAACUUGAGUCACGUAGUACCACUUUGCAAAGCAUGGAAACACAAAUCCGUACAACAGUAAUGUAUUCGGAUACAGACAAUUGUACGAAAGGAAGACCAAUGUUUGAAGAAAGUAGAAAGUAUCUGCAAUCUAACAGGAUUUUCCAUCGAUAUAAAACUGAAUAUCAGUGUAUGGACAUUCCGCUGCAAAGACAAGCCUUGUCUAAUACUAUCACAGAAAUAAAACAGGAAGUAAUGUUAUCUUCAAAAGCAGAAAACAAAAGGUUAUAUCAAUACGGUAUAGAUAUGCAUCAAAACCUUCAGGUUUAUCCUGUUCAACAAUUUUCUUUGGAGCAGGCGUUUAUCUCAUGUGGUGAAGGAGGACAAACAAUUACGAACCCAGAGGUCUUCUUCUCAAACAACCUCACACGAUUGUCAUCCUACCGCAAUUUCCCAAGUAAAUUGGCACCUAGUGCUAUCAAACUGAGCAAUGCCGGAUUCUAUGCCACUGGGAAUGUUGACGAAACGGCUUGCUUUCACUGCGGCUGCAGAUACUCCAGAUGGAAUCCGAGUGAAGACCCCGUUCAAACACACGAAGAAAUUUCCCCAGAAUGUGAAUUCAUUCAAGAAAUAUUUGCUAACGAAGGUCGUAACGGAAAAGUGGGCUCUCAUGCUACAAAUGGAAUACUUUGUUCUGAGGAAACAGAGACGCUUUCUCGGCUGGAUCAGACUGGAGAUUCUUUGAUUGUAUAUGGGAAUGAACAUCUUGUCAGAAACACAAGCAUUGUAAAUAAGGAUAGUCUGAACGAAAGAAGUACCAGUCCCUGUAGUAACAUUAAAAUGGCAAACCCAACAGAAGAUUUCCAAAUGAAAAAACAUCAUUUUAAUGAUGGAAAAGGUUCUGAAUGUGCUUUUCACGCGGAAACACCAAGCAUGACCUCAAUUUCUUGUGAACUUCAAAGCAUUUCUUUAGACAACGCUCCUUCCACUGUAUCUCUACCUGUUCCUUCAAAACCAAGCUCUACAUCAGUAUCUUGCAACUCCUGCUUUGAAAAGGUUCCAUUGAAUGACAAGUCUGUCCAGCAGAAGAAAAGAAGACACCUGGCUACUAAUGGUGAAACAGCUGUACAUGGAAAUUGGAAGCAAACAAAUCCGGACCUCAUACAUCCGCUGUUUCCACAAUAUAUAUCCUUGCCAGUGAGGAUGUCUUCCUUUGCAAAAUGGCCAACACAUGUAAAACAGACUGCAAAAGAAAUGUCGCUUGCGGGAUUCUUUUACAAAGGAUACGGCGAUGCAGUAGCCUGCUAUUGGUGUGGAGUUUGCAUUGUCAGUUGGGAGGAAGAAGAUGAGCCAUGCAUUGAGCAUGUUAAAUGGAAACCACUCUGUCCGUAUACAAUACAGACCAAAGGACAAGACUUUGUGGACCUUGUACUGGAGCAACAAGGGCGAUUAUACCAAGGAGACAAAAGUAUCGAUGACUACAACGUUGCAGAACAAACCCUUUCCUCAAAUAAUGCUGUCGAAGAAGUAAAAUACACAAAACUAAAAGAGAUGGGGUUUAAACAGAGAGAAAUUGACAUCGCUGUUUGUAAAGUGUCCAGACAAAAAGAAAACCCGGCAGAAGAAGAUAUUUUGGAGCAGCUCCUGAACGACGACACAAAGGGAGAAACAACCGAAACAAUACCACCAACAGCGAUGUCCUUCCAACGUGACCAGGAGCCAUGGAAUGUCACCUCGAAAUAUAACUAUGCUACAUCUGCUAACAGUUCUGAAGACAUAGAUCACUUAAGCAGGGUGGAACGUUUGAUGUGCAAGAUUUGUAUGACACAGGAGAUCAUGGUGUUGACUCUUUCUGCUGGGGAUGAGGACAAUCAAUGUUACAGUUUCCAGAGUGCAAUAAUUCCACGAGGGAUGAAUAACUAUGUUAUGUCGACAGGAAGGUAAAGUUACUGAGAGAAGUCACGUUUAUAAAGUAGUGCAAACGCAGUCGACAAGCAAGGAACUCGGCGUCCACAUCAGGAACCUAGCACAUGGAAAUGCGGUUAUCCUCAGAAGAUAUGGUCUUUCUGUGCCGUUUGAUGCAAUUGCUGCAUCAGCUUGGAACG